rnacentral:rRNA from 1 species
GACGAACGCUGGCGGCGUGCCUAAUACAUGCAAGUAGAACGCACAGUUUAUACCGUAGCUUGCUACACCAUAGACCGUGAGUUGCGAACGGGUGAGUAACGCGUAGGUAACCUGCCUGGUAGCGGGGGAUAACUAUUGGAAACGAUAGCUAAUACCUCAUAAUAUUAAUUAUUGCAUGAUAAUUAAUUGAAAGGUGCAAUUGCACCACUACCAGAUGGACCUGCGUUGUAUUAGCUAGUAGGUGAGGUAACGGCUCACCUAGGCGACGAUACAUAGCCGACCUGAGAGGGUGAUCGGCCACACUGGGACUGAGACACGGCCCAGACUCCUACGGGAGGCAGCCGUAGGGAAUCUUCGGCGAUGGACGAAAGUCUGAACGAGCAACGCCGCGUGAGUGAAGAAGGUUUUCGGAUCGUAAAGCUCUGUUGUAAGAGAAGAACGGGUGUGAGAGUGGAAAGUUCACACUGUGACGGUAUCUUACCAGAAAGGGACGGCUAACUACGUG